AAACUUUUGCUGGAAAUAUAGCUCUUUAUAUUUUAAUAAUUUUAUUAUUUUAUACAUCGUAGAAAUUGCAUUCAUGUUUAAACACUAGUAGCCUACAUUGAAUAUUGUUUACACAUUAGUACAUUGAAAAUUGUUGAUUAUGAUUCUUUAAUUCUUAGCUUAAAACAAAAACACUUCAAACACAGUUCAAGUCGACAAGAGUAAAAAUAUAUAAAGUACUCCUCGAAAUUAGCUCGAAACGUACCGCCAUGUUGAUUUAGCAUUUUAGCCUGCGAACAGGCUGCUGCGAUUCUACGGUUUUGUCACUGAUCUAUAUGUUCUACACUGAAUAGUCAUUUCCGCAUAGUGCGCUGAUUGGCUAGGGACGGUCACAAGCUAAAAUACUAGAC